ACCUGUUCACAACAAAGACACAUUGAGUUGUAGUCAGACCCAAGAGAAGAUAACUAAUCCAGUGAUCUAAAACUCAUCUUCAUUCAAGUCUGGUGUGAACAACAAAAACUUGGGCAAGGUUCCAAUUGCGGCGCCAUCAUAGAGCAAUCCAACCCGAUUGCCAAACAAACGAGUUUGUGAUCUAACACACAGAUGAUUGUUGACUUGCUCAACACAUUAGCCGUAUCUGCGGUUAGUGUGUCAUAUGAUCUUUUCAACCCUAUGAAAGGGGAUGAUUGACUCAAGUACACCUGCACACUAUUUGCCUGUUAGAUUAUCCAUGUAACAACAUUAUUCACGCAGGACAAAGAGUUCCAAUAUGAGCGGUUCCAUGAGGUUUGCUGCGAUGCAUUUUACUCAGUGGAGGCGUACCUCUUUGCGCAGGUGUUGGAACAGAACCUCUUGGUUCCUCGGAACUGGUUGGCUGGCGCCAGGCUCGAGCAGUACUCACACUUCAAUACUAAAAGAAAAGGGGAAAGCGUUAAGUCACUUACAAGGUGGGCCGUUUUCGGCGCGGGCGCCCAGUGCAAAGUCCCGAUCUUUGAGGAGCCCUGCGACCUUCCAAAUUAAA